GAGGGUAUAGCUUAAGUGGUACAGCACAUGCUUAGCAUGCAUGAGGUCCUGGGUUCAAUCCCCAGUACCUCCU
rfam:Camelus ferus unplaced genomic scaffold scaffold168, whole genome shotgun sequence.